GGUCGGUUUGGCCGGAUUUCACACAGGUGUUGCAUGGCUGUCGUCAGCUCGUGUCGUGAGAUGUUGGGUUAAGUCCCGCAACGAGCGCAACCCUCAUCCUUAGUUACCAUCAGGUUAUGCUGGGGACUUUAAGGAAACUGUCAGUGAUAAACUGGAGGAAGGUGGGGAUGAUGUCAAGUCAUCAUGGCCCUUAUGGAGUGGGCUACACACGUGCUACAAUGGUGAUUACAAUGGGCUGCAAGGUCGCAAGGCUGAGCUAAUCCUAAAAAAUCAUCUCAGUUCGGAUUGUUCUCUGCAACUCGAGAGCAUGAAGUUGGAAUCGCUAGUAAUCGUGGAUCAGCAUGCCACGGUGAAUACGUUCUCGGGUCUUGUACACACUGCCCGUCACGCCAUGGGAAUUGGUUUCACUCA
rnacentral:rRNA from 1 species